UAAGCUUCAAGUAUGUCAUUUGUACCUUAUUUAACUUGUCUCCAAAUUUUUUUUUUGUACUGUACAGCCCAUGAUGGCACCGUUGGAAAGCUUUGCUCAGAGUGUAGGAUCAACAACAGCAAUAACACUUGAACAUGAUGCUGAGAGCAGUUUAAAGGGGUCAACAUAUGAGCCUGAGUGCGACGAUAGCUUGCAGCCCAGGAUUGGAAUGUUUUUUGAUAGCUGGGAGGACGGAGAGGCGUUUUACACAAGAUAUGCACAUGAGGCCGGGUUCUCAGUUCGUAGAUUUACACAACACAAAGGUGGUCAUGGUGCAUCGGUGUGGAAGCGUUUUAUUUGCGCAAGGCAAGGAUGGAGGGAAGAGAAAUAUAUUCCAGCCAGCCAAGUAAAUAAGCCUAGGAGGAAGUGAAGUUAAGAAGACAUUUUUUUUUCAGUUUCGUUGUGCGAUAAGGGGGUCAAGAAGCUGCGUCGCCCAGGUCUAAUCCAGGCCUAUCCACAUGAUCAUUAUUCGCCUUUUCCCCUUCCAGCGUGCUGUUUAGUUUUGAUUUCUCAUGGAUCCAUGGAGGUACUGCAGUCUUCUGCCAAAUUUAGGCAUAACUUAACAAUAAACCUGUUAUCGCCUCACAUUUGGGUUAAUUUAAUUAAAGAUAUGCUUAGAUAGUCCAAACAGCCAUGGUAUAUGGGUGCAGUUGUGCAGCUCAUCAUUUAGUGUCUAGAGUUUACAAGUGCACAACAUUAUACCACAAUCAUUCUACAAGUACAUAGUAUAAAACAUAUAUUUGACCAAUUCUGUUCGUUGUUGGUUGGCUCGUGGGCAGGUGCUCAGAGCAAUUCAGAUAAGCAGUGGUCUGUUUAUUUCAUAAAAAUAUUUAUCUUAUAGACAUGAUCAAGGAGUAUCGCAAAUAUAGUAUUGCAUGGCACUUAACUUUAGCCCUUCAAACCAUGUCCAUUCUGUAAUUUAGAACGACCAGGCAUGCGAGUAGAGCACUGGAACUCUUACUGCUAUAGUAACAUGUUUGUAUAACACAUGUUCAUUUGCUGAUGACAUGGUUCUCGACAUGGUCUGAAUAUUGUUAUUGGUAAGUCAUAAACCUCACAGUAAUCUGGACAGACUUGCGAUGGAAGCUACUCUCGACAUGACUCAUACAGUACUCUGACCAUGAUAUUGUUAUUACUGUUUGACUGAUACAGGGAGAACUAAGGUUGCUUUUAGGGAAUA